UCCCUGCUGCCCUUUCGCUGGCCCAGGAAGGGGUAAAUCACAGAUCAGUGUCAGAGGUGCGAUGAAAACCCAGGAGUUCUGAUUCCUGGGUCACCAUGCUCCCUUUGCCAAGGGUGGAGCCGACACCAACAGACUCUUAGCUCCUGUGCCCUGUGCAUCCUGGUGUUCGUGCACGUGCUGCACGGCCUGCAGACAGAUCAUCAGAAAAUUCAACUUUCAAGUGAGGAUCAUAAGCCAGAGAGUGCAGGACUCCACACCAGGGCAGAUGACCUGUGGAUUCCAGAAGCUCUCAGGAAUUUUGCAGAUUUCUCAAGGGCAACCCUGUCCAUAGAACGGGGAAAAGAACAAGCCCAUGCCUCCAAAGAGAAACUUCACAGUUCGCCUAAGUUUAACCUCUAGUGAUUCAUUCUCUUGUGUGUGGGGGCCUUCUGAUCUCUGGGAGCUCCCUCAAAGGCAAACUCCCAUGCAGAGGGCAUUUCUGAGGACUGAAAUCCAGGUGAUAAUAGUAACUACUGCUUUUUUAGCAUUUAGUGCUAACUUUGGCAUUUGGGCAACCAUCAAACACUCUCUUCCAUCAUCUCGCCCCUCCACCCACAGCCCUGUGUUAUCAAUCCCCUUUCCCAGCCAACCUGGGGACAAGUUGACUUGUCAUCACCAUCUGUACCUCCCCACUUUACACUCUCUCCACAGUCCACUCCACUAGGGCAUUGGCUGCACAUGUCACCAAAACCACUCUUGUCAGUGUCACCAAAAACUCCCAUGUUGCAAGAUACAAAGGCCAUUUUUCGGUCUCUUGUACUGAGCCUCUCCUAGAAGCAUAAGGUCCCUGGGCUUCCUUGGCACCUCCUCCGCCAGCAUCUUCUCCUCUUUUUGGCUGCUCCUGCCAUAGUUCACCCACUGCCCUCUCCUUCUACCACUCUGUCGAGUACUGGUGCACCCCAGGGCUCAGUCCUAAGCCCCAUUCUUCCCUCUAUCCAUGUGUGCUCCUGCAGUCCCAUGGUUUACACACCAUGCAUUUACCAAUGCCUUUAUAUAGUUCUCCCACCCAAACCUCUCCCUGAGCUCCAGCCAGAAUCACAUAUACAACUGCCUACCUGACCUCCCCACUCAGAUAUAUUACAGAUCACUCGGCUAGUAGCUGGCUAAGGCAGGACAUAAACUCAACUUCAGGUAGAUCUGAUCUCAAGGCCUGCAUUCUUAAUGACUCCUGGACUAGAAUCCAAGGAGACAGCUAUAAACUCUCUGAGAGAAGAGGCAUCUCCACUCCAAAGAUCUACCCAAUGGCCUAGGACAGACUUAUUCCAUCACUUCUCAUGCUGUGAGAAAUCUGUCAUUGUGGGAUUUCCCCACUUAAGUAUAACUAGGUGGUUACCUUUCCUGCAAUUUUCAAACAGGGCAGAUAUGUUAGGGGUAACAUGGACCCACAAACACCUGGUAUGUCUGUGUCUUCCCAGAGUGUAAACUCUGCUCAAACAUGGACACAGAAAGGCAGACAGCAGGAGAAAUCAUUUUCCUACAAAGAGAAAACAGAUGUGUCUUGGAAGAGAAAAUGAGAUACAACUUUUUGUAAUUUAAAAAACAAGACUUCAAACUUCAGGUGGACACCUUAGCCUUCUGCCACAGAUUCAAAGGAUAUAAAGUAGAACUACAAAGAGCUUAAGUCCUGACUCCUAGAAGCUUGUUUCUAAUAUCUGCCUCCAUUAGCCUUCGUCUUAAACCAGGAAGGUGGUAUGAACACUCAACAAACCGUCAGUGUACUUUGGAAGAGGUGGGAUAAAAGUGGACAUUUUUGCCUUGCCUCUGAUGUCUUUAGCGAAGCCAAAUAAAUCUGGAAAGAAAAAUUAAAUAUUUCCCUGAAACCUCACAGGAGAAAAAAAGAGAAAGGCUUUCAGAAGUCCCCAGAGAAACAAGAAAUGACUAUUUCCAAAACAAAGUUUGAUUUGAAAUUAUAAGAAGCUAGAGGUAGUUUUGAAAACCAGUGAACACUCAUGAACUUAAUCAGGCUUAGCAAAGCAGAGACAGAAAUGCAGAUUGGAAGUUGCCCCUGGAUAGCUUGGCCAGCAGAAUAAAACCCAGAGGCAGAAUCAAUUUUUUUUCUUUCAGAUUAAAGCCGCAGCAUCUCUCAGUUGAAGGCAGAGGUAUAAAGUCAAAGACUCCAGAAGUUCUUGGAAAAUGAUAAGUCAAUCUCUUGACAAAUGAUCCAGGGGCAACUUCGAAUUCCUGUUUCUAUCUCUACCUCUCUGAUUACUUUAACAAGCACUUUCUGAUUGGACCUUGGUAAUUCCAGCAAGCCAAGACUUUCCAUGGGACUUCACCUUACCCUCUUAGAUUACUGGCAACCUCGCAUCCCCUGAAUUCCUGUUCAGGGAGAAGAGCAAGUCCUUCCUUCAGGGACUGGAGAAUGACAACCUUCACAGAACCCAGAGCUAGAGACUGAGGACUCAGAAUGUAGACUGGGAAUAAGAGAACUACAGCCAGGGGCCAAAUCCCUCCAGCCACAACAACAACAAAAAAAAAAAAAAAAAAA
rnacentral:lncRNA from 1 species